rnacentral:rRNA from 1 species
UACGAAGGGGGCUAGCGUUGCUCGGAAUUACUGGGCGUAAAGCGCACGUAGGCGGCCUUUUAAGUCAGGGGUGAAAUCCUAGAGCUCAACUCCGGAAAUGCCUCUGAUACUGGAAGGCUUGAGUCCGGGAGAGGUGAGUGGAACUCCGAGUGUAGAGGUGAAAUUCGUAGAUAUUCGGAAGAACACCAGUGGCGAAGGCGACUCUCUGGCACGUUUCUGACGCUGAGGUGCGAAAGCGUGGGGAGCAAACAGG